UGAGGCAGGAGAAUCGCUUGAACCCGGGAGAUGGAGGUUGCAGUGAGCCGAGAUUGCGCCACUGCAUUCCAGCUCUGGGCGACAAAGCAAGACUCUGUCUCGGA
rnacentral:miRNA from 1 species